rnacentral:lncRNA from 1 species
CUAUAUGAGAUAUAGACACCUAGCCCACUAAGUUCCACUAAUUGUUAGUGGAAUAUUAGGUGUUGAGAUUUGGCAAUUGAAUUGCAUGCAUUUUUGCAUGUAAUUAGGCUAUAAAUAGAGAUGUUUUCAAAUGUUGAAGGACUUUUGCCUCUUUUAUCAUUUUCAUAAUCUCAACAAAAGAAAAAAGAAAGCUUCCAAUCUCAUUUUAUCUCCAUUACUUUCUACACCAAAAUUGGGUCCCACAACCCGGUUCUUUGUCUAGAGGAUAGCAGUUGAGUACUAGUGGUGGUCUCGGGUAGAAUUGGUAAGAAGACAUCAAACCUUUUGAAAGCUUCAAAGGUAAUACUUCUUAAAACCCUAAUUUGAUUAGUUUAUGGUUACAUGUUAAUUGUGGCAAUUAGGGUAGAAAUUCGAUUCUUUUUCCGCUGUGCAUGACUUAGUUCUAUCAUGUGGUAUCAGAGCAUGCUUCAUUUUUACCCAAUUGCAUGUGGUGGGUUCAUAUUUAUUAGAUAAAUUUUGGUUUGAACUAAAAUGGAUAUAUUAUGAUUUUGGCUCUAGAUUAAGUGUUUUUGUUCUAAUUAUUGUAAUUAGCCUUGUUAAUGGCUUAUUUUUAUUGUUGCAAAGUGUUUGUAAUUUUUUUAAAAAAUAAAAAAAAGUCAUUAGAGUUGAAGCUAGGCUGUAAUUGGUUCAACCGGGUGAGAGAAUUGAAAAAAAUGAAGAAAAGAAGGUCACAGACCCGAAAACCCGGUUUUGACCCGCUUCGCGACCCGCACGCGCCCGCAUGCCCGCGCGCCCUUUGCGCCGCGCGCCCUCCUGCGUCCGCACGCGCCGCGCGCCCGCGCGCCCUCCUGCGCCGCGCGCCCUCCUGCGCCGCGCGCCCUCCUGCGCCGCGCGCCCGCAUGUGUCCGCGCGCCCGCAUGCGCCCGCACGCCCGCCUUCGCCCGCGCGCCUGCCUUCGCACGACCCGUGUGCGCCUGGGCCGGUUCAAGCCAAUAAAUUUGGUUUUUGGGCCGGUUCAAGCGGUUCGGUUGGUUUUUUAGUCGGUUCGAAAUUUUUGGGAGUGGUUCUGUACUACACCAAAUUAAUUAUGUAAUAAUUUAGCACUUAGCUUAAUUUAGGAGCCAAAAAUCAGUCCAUUUUAGGGUGUUUUUUUUAUUUAUGCAUGUGAUGUAUGAUUAAAUUACUUUAAAUUUGUAUGUGCAUUUUGAAUGUCAUAUAGAUUUAAAAUCCCACCAUAGGUUAACAUGUUCAUGCAUUAAAAUGUAUGAUAUAAAGGUUAUAUUGUAUUGUAUGCAUGUUAAUUGAUUAAUAUGGAAAUUAAUUAAUAUGAUUAAUUAAUUAUUUAAUUAAUUAAGUUAUUCUUGAUUAAAUAUGAUUUAAUCAAAUUAAUUAAUUAUUGUUUGAUUUAAUUUAAUUAAAUAUGAUUUAAUUAAAGUUAAAUAAAUUAAAAUCCAUAUUAAUUGAUUGUUUUUAUUAUAUAUUGAUAAAAUGAUUGAUUAAGUUUAAAAGUUUUUAUAAGUGUUAUAAAAUAAAUUAGACUUUUAAAAUCAAUAACAAAGAUUAAAUGCAUGCUCACUUAGGUUAAACAUAUCUUCCAUUUUUCAUAGAAAUAGGUCGAUAUCUUGUAAAACUGGUUACAAAAGGCUCACCUGGUUCAAUCUUGUCAACAAGUCAGAUAAGAUGACUAAGGUUGGAGGUUCUUAAGUUGACGGUUUACGGAACACCUCCUACCUGGAGAUCGUAAUCAGUUCUUGAGCCUAGUUAACCUAGUUUUAUGAGCAUUCGUGAGAGGUGUGAGGUAAUAAAAAUGGUUUUUCACCUAGACAUCAUAGGUUAAAAUCCUGUAUAAUGGUUAUACUUGGAUGUUUUAUCUAGACUUAAGAUUUGUUUAAGUUAGCCUAAAUAUAAAUCUUGAAGUUUGGAUUACCCUAUUUUUUUCUUUUAGAACACUUCAACUAGAGAAAAAUAAUGUAUUUUAGCUCUAGUGUCCCUAAGAGUUCACACCGUGAGGUCCAUGCAGGGCUUUGUGCCGUGCAUAGGAGCGGCCUCCCUUCGGAGAGUGUUUGCAUGGAUCAAAAUCAAGGUGAAUAGGGGAAGUAGUUCAUAGUAAGUGGGUGAGGGAUUUGUGGCAGCACAUCCCACGGUCUCUUCCAUUAGGUCGCACCGUGAGAUUUCUAUAAUAUGCCUGCUUGUCUGCCCUGGAGCGACGUUCCCUUCGGAGGGUUGUAUUAUAGGAUUCGGAACACCGCGAACUCCAAAACUGGAUAGGAUUUCUUAGAUUAGUUUUCAUAAAUGAUUCUAAUCUAUAAAAUCUGAAAAUGGUGGGUAACACUUACAAGAAUUACUAAGUUGUUAGUAUAUUCUUGACUAAAGUAGCGAUAACUAAGUGCUAUAAAGAAUAAAGAGUUAUUCUUGAGAUAGCAUCUAGUCAAGAUUGUCUUGGUUCAAAGGAGGAAUAAUCAACUACCCUUCGGAGAAGGUUGUUCUAAACCUUUGAAAUAUUGUUGCAAAAUACAAAUAAUGAAAGGGUACAUUAUUAGUAAUUGCUAAAUUAGAUUGGAUAUUUUUUAUGAUUAUAGUUUUUUCUUAAAAAGAAUAUGUUUGUUUUUCAGCAUGAAUAGCUCAAUAGUUCAACUUUUAGCUUCCGAAAAACUUAAUGGCGAUAAUUAUGCGGCUUGGAAAUCAAAUCUUAACACAAUACUAGUGGUUGACGAUUUAAGAUUUGUCUUAACUGAGGAAUGUCCUCAAAACCCUGCCUCUAAUGCUAACCGAACUAGUCGGGAUGCAUAUGAUCGAUGGAUAAAAGCUAAUGAAAAAGCCCGUGUUUACAUUCUUGCCAGCAUGUCUGAUGUAUUGGCAAAGAAACAUGAAUCCUUAGCCACGGCUAAAGAGAUUAUGGAUUCAUUAAGGGGAAUGUUUGGGCAACCAGAAUGGUCCUUAAGACACGAGGCAGUCAAAUACAUUUACACUAAGCGUAUGAAGGAAGGGACCUCUGUUAGAGAACAUGUUCUGGACAUGAUGAUGCACUUCAACAUCGCUGAAGUGAAUGGUGGUCCCAUCGAAGAGGUUAAUCAAGUUAGUUUUAUCUUAGAGUCUCUUCCGAAGAGCUUCAUUCCAUUCCAAACGAAUGCGUCUUUGAACAAGAUAGAAUUUAACUUGACAACCCUUCUGAAUGAACUCCAGCGAUUCCAAAACCUAACUAUGGGUAAAGGAAAACAAGUGGAAGCAAAUGUUGCUACCACAAAAAGAAAAUUUAUAAGAGGAUCGUCCUCUAAAACCAAAGCUGGACCCUCAAAACCUAAUGCUCAAAUAAAAAAGAAGGGAAAGGGAAAGACUCCCAAACAGAACAAGGGUAAGAAAGCUGCAGAAAAAGGUAAGUGUUACCAUUGUGGCCAAAACGGGCACUGGUUAAGAAACUGCCCAAAAUACCUUGCAGAAAAAAAGGCAGAGAAGGAAACACAAGGUAAAUAUGAUUUACUAGUUGUAGAAACAUGUUUAGUGGAAUAUGAAAAUUCUACCUGGAUACUAGAUUCAGGAGCCACUAACCAUAUUUGCUUCUCAUUUCAGGAAAAUAGUUCUUGAAAAAGCUUUCAGAAGGUGAGAUCACUCUCAAGGUUGGAACAGGAGAGAUGGUCUCAGCUUCAGCAGUGGGAGUUUUAAAGUUGUUUUUUAGAGAUAGAUAUGUCAUACUUAAGAAUGUCUUAUAUGUACCUCAAAUGAAAAGAAAUUUAAUAUCUAUCUCUUGUAUUUUGGAACAAAUGUAUAGAAUAUCUUUUGAAAUUAAUGAAGCGUUCGUUUUCUAUAAAGGUAUUCUAGUUUGUUCUGCUAUACUUGAAGACAACUUAUAUAAGUUAAGACCAACUAGAGCAAAUUUUGUCUUAAAUACUGAAAUAUUCAGAACAGCUGAAACUCAGAAUAAAAGACAAAAAGUUUCUUCUAAUGCCUAUUUAUGGCACUUAAGACUUGGUCACAUAAAUCUCAAUAGGAUUGGGAGAUUGGUUAAAAGUGGGCUUCUAAGUCCGUUAGAAGAUAACUCUUUACCUCCUUGUGAAUCUUGUCUUGAAGGAAAAAUGACCAAGAGAUCUUUUACUGGAAAAGGUCUAAGAGCCAAAGGACCCUUAGAGCUCGUACAUUCGGACCUUUGUGGACCAAUGAAUGUCAAAACUCGAGGUGGAUAUGAAUAUUUCAUUAGCUUCAUUGAUGAUUAUUCAAGGUAUGGUCAUAUUUACCUAAUACAUCAUAAGUCUAAUAGUCUUGAAAAGUUCAAAGAAUAUAAGGCUGAAGUAGAAAACGAAUUAGGUAAAACAAUAAAAAUACUUCGAUCAGAUCGAGGUGGAGAGUAUAUGGACUUACGAUUCCGAGACUAUUUAAUAGAAAAUGGAAUCCAGUCACAACUCUCUGCACCUAGUACACCUCAACAGAACGGUGUAUCAGAAAGAAGAAACUGGACCUUGUUAGACAUGGUUCGCUCUAUGAUGAGUUUUUCUCAGAUGUCAGAUUCUUUUUGGGGAUAUGCUUUAGAAACAGCUGCUUAUAUUUUGAAUAAUGUUCCCUCUAAAAGUGUUUCAGAAACACCUUAUGAGCUAUGGAAAGGGCGUAAAGGCAGUUUACGUCAUUUUAAAAUUUGGGGUUGUCCAGCACAUGUGUUGGUACAAAAUCCAAAGAAAUUGGAACAUCGUUCAAAAUUAUGCUUUUUUAUAGGUUAUCCAAAAGAAUCAAGAGGUGGUUUGUUUUAUGAUCCUCAAGAAAAUAAAAUACCACAUCAGGGAUCAUCAACCUUGUAGUAAACUAGUAUUUAAAGAAAUUUCCAAAAGUGCUAUAGAUAAAACCUAGUUCAUCCACUAAAGUAGUUGAUAAGACUAGGAAAUCUGGUCAAUCACAUCCUUCUCAACAGUUGAGAGAGCCUCGACGUAGUGGGAGGGUUGUUCAUCAGCCUGAUCGCUAUUUGGGUUUAAUUGAAACUCAAGUCGUCAUACCUGACGAUGGCAUAGAGGAUCCAUUAACCUAUAAACAGGCAAUGAAAGAUGUAGAUCGUGACCAAUGGAUCAAAGCCAUGGACCUCGAAAUGGAGUCUAUGUACUUUAAUUCUUUCUAGACUCUAGUAGAUCAACCAAAUGACGUAAAACCUAUUGGUUGUAAAUGGAUCUACAAGAGAAAACGAGACCAUGCCGGUAAAGUACAGACUUUUAAGGCUCGACUUGUGGCAAAGGGUUAUACCUAGAGAGAGGGAGUAGACUAGAGGAAACUUUCUCUCCCGUUGCCAUGUUAAAGUCAAUUAGAAUACUCUUAUCCAUCGCCACUUUUUAUGAUUAUGAAAUUUGGCAGAUGGAUGUCAAGACAGCUUUUUUGAACGGUAAUCUUGAAGAGAGCAUCUAUAUGUCUCAACCAGAGGGGUUUAUAAAACAAGAUCAAGAACAAAAGGUUUGUAAGCUUAAAAAAUCCAUUUAUGGAUUAAAACAAGCUUCUAGAUCCUGGAAUAUAAGAUUUGAUAUUGCGAUCAAAAUCUUAUGGCUUUGAACAAAAUGUUGACGAGCCUUGUGUUUACAAAAGGUCGUCAAUUCCAUUAUAGCAUUUUUUAGUCUUAUAUGUAGAUGAUAUUCUACUUAUUGGAAAUGACGUAGGAUAUCUUACUGAUAUCAAGAAAUGGCUAGCUAUGCAAUUUCAAAUGAAAGAUCUGGGAGAUGCACAAUACGUUCUCGGAAUCCAAAUUGUUCGAAACCGUAAGAACAAAACACUAGCCAUGUCUCAAGCAUCUUACAUAGACAAAAUGUUGUCUAGAUAUAAAAUGCAGAAUUCCAAAAAGGGUCUGCUGCCGUACAGAUAUGGAAUUCAUUUGUCAAAGGAACAAUGUCCUAAGACACCUCAAGAAGUUGAGGAUAUGAGAAAUAUUCCCUAUGCUUCCGCUGUUGGAAGUUUAAUGUAUUCAAUGUUAUGUACUAGACCUGACAUUUGCUACUCAGUAGGGAUGGUCAGUAGGUAUCAAUCCAAUCAUGGACGUGAUCACUGGACAGCCGUUAAAAACAUUCUACAUGCUCAUGUAUCGUACAAAGGAUAUGAUCCUUACUGGAUACACUGAUUCGGAUUUCCAAACUAAUAAAGAUGUUAGAAAGUCUACAUCAGAAUCAGUAUUUACUCUAAAUGGAGGAGCAGUAGUUUGGAGAAGCAUAAAGCAAACUUGUAUAGCUGAUUCCACAAUGGAAGCUGAUCAUUUUACAAAAGCCCUCACGGCUAAAGUGUUUGAGGGUCACCUACACAGUUUAGGUGUACGAUGUUUGUAAACUAGGACAAGUGGGAGACUUAUUGGCCAUGUUUCAUAUAUAUUCUCUCACACCACAUCUCUCAUACCACUAGGAAUUUUAGUCCAAGUGGGAGUUUGUUGGAAUUUUUUGUCCUAAAACUCGUAGUUUGUAAAUCAUAUUCUAUUCAAUAAAGUUGUUAUUGAGAAAUUAAAUAUUAUAAUCUUAAAUCCAAUAAAUCAAAGUUCCAAGGCUAUUUUUUGAAUAAACUUGAACUUUAUGUGUAAACAUAAACGUGGAUCAAGUUCGAGUAUAUAGCCUAAAUAGUCUAUAGUAUAUGAAAUAAAGGUUGGGCGCCUUAUUUUGAGAGACUAUGGAUGCGGCCCACUUUGUAGUACAAACGAUGUGAUCCUAAUCGUUCAUGUAGAGACAUGAAAGUGGGGGCAUCCUAUGUAAAAUGUUUACAUAAGACUGAACCAUGAAUUAGUCAUUUUUACGUUAUAACAUCGUUUACUGUUUAAAACUGACUAUCUCAAUUAUUGAUGACCUAGGUAACUUAGUCUUAAUCCUGAGUUAACUAUGAACUCCUGUUCAUACGAGAUUAUCCUUAGAUCUGCAUAGGUGAGGGCAGCUCAUCAGCGUUGGCCCAAUAAGCCUCCCAUUUCAGGGGUAAGAUCGGGUGGAUAGCUGGGAACAUAGGGUACAAGAUGGAAUUCACUCCUACCCGCUUUAGGGUUAGUAGAUAGGUUGCUCUCUUAAGCACUAAAUCCAAGUCUUGAACAAGGGGCCCCACCCUCUCAUUGGCCCGAGAGGGAUUAAGUUUAUAGGUUGAACCUUAAACCAAUUGUUCAAUAGUGGAUUAGUGGGACUUAAGGAGCAAGAUGUAAUCUUGGGGGUAAAACGGUAUUUUGACCCAGCCAAGGUUACGAGCAACCUGUGAAGGAUUAACUUACUGAUUAUGGUUUUAUCAAAUGGACACAAAUAUAUCUAUAGUGAGGGGAGUGCAACUACGGGACUUUAGUGGAAUGACCCGUUAGUUAACGAAUGUUGAUUAACUCGGUUUAAAAGAGUUUAGCUAGUUAAUCUUGAAUCGUUGGAGCCCAUGAUCUAUAGGUCCAUUAGGUUCCUCUGCUAGCUCAUAUGGAUUAAACUUAGAACAGUGUGAUGAAAUAAGUCGAAUUGUUCGAAUUGGGAGAAGAAAGGAAAACCGACAUAUACAGUGAUAUAAUCGUCGAUCUUCUAAUUAGAAAUAGAGCUUUAUGUUUUACAUACUAUAAGUAUGAAUGCGGAUUCAUACUAAGAAGCUCGAAAUUGGUCAAAAAUAGUAAAAAGUCAAAAUGUUGACUUUUGACUUUGAAAAGUCAAACUUUGACCGGCCUUAUAUUCAAAUGUGAUUUGAAUUUUGGAAAAAUGAAUGCGGAUUCAUGCUCGGGAGGUUGGAAUUAGUCAAGACGGACAAAAUGGUAAAAAGUCAAAAUAUUGACUUUUGACUUAGAAAAGUCAAAGUUUGACUUUUGACUAGAAAAAUCUAAUGACCAUUUUACCCUUGGACUAAGUUAGUGGGAAAAUCCAACAUUUUGUUGGAUAAUCCCACUAACUCUUAGUGGGAUAUGUGGCUAUAUGAGAUAUAGACACCUAGCCCACUAAGUUCCACUAAUUGUUAGUGGAAUAUUAGGUGUUGAGAUUUGGCAAUUGAAUUGCAUGCAUUUUUGCAUGUAAUUAGGCUAUAAAUAGAGAUGUUUUCAAAUGUUGAAGGACUUUUGCCUCUUUUAUCAUUUUCAUAAUCUCAACAAAAGAAAAAAGAAAGCUUCCAAUCUCAUUUUAUCUCCAUUACUUUCUACACCAAAAUUGGGUCCCACAACCCGGUUCUUUGUCUAGAGGAUAGCAGUUGAGUACUAGUGGUGGUCUCGGGUAGAAUUGGUAAGAAGACAUCAAACCUUUUGAAAGCUUCAAAGGUAAUACUUCUUAAAACCCUAAUUUGAUUAGUUUAUAGUUACAUGUUAAUUGUGGCAAUUAGGGUAGAAAUUCGAUUCUUUUUCCGCUGUGCAUGACUUAGUUCUAUCAGCACACACACAUCUACACACACAUGCACACACGCAUACACGCACACACACAUACGCACACACACAUCAACUCACACGGGCAAACGCG